CGCCUAACCCUUGGUAACCCCCAAGGUAUGGUGCAAAACUCCGCUAAAGUGUAAAAACCUCCUCGUCAGGAGUCACUUUAGCGGUCAUAUCUGGAAACGGGUAUGGGUUUGGUCGAAAGACCAGAUC
rnacentral:sRNA from 1 species